rnacentral:lncRNA from 1 species
UUUAUUUUAGUAAUGUAAUUUAUUUUAUUAAUGUAAUUUAUAUUAUAUAAUAUAUAUUGAUUACAUAUUAUAUAUAAUAUGCAAUAUUAAUAUAUUUUAAUUAUAUAUUGAUCACUGAAACAGUAUUGCUUCAGGUUCCUAAUCAUGUUCUCCGAAACCCAAUUAUGCCUAUAAUAUUUAUUUUUUUCCUUUUUUUAUGUGAUAUAAAAUAACAAUACAUGUAAAUUUUAAAUAUUUUUUACAAUUUUUUGGGAUUUUUUACCAAAAUUGUAUUUUUCAAAAAAUUUGGGGCACUAAUUAGCCGAUCUAGUCGGAAUCGGUCGGACUAAUCGGAUCGGGCAAAGACCAACUAAUCCACCCAAUCUGUUGUUUUGAGUACUAGUUCUGAUAUCUUAUUUUUUGGAAAAUAUAUUGCUUGCAUUUAUUCGUACACUUUUUUAAACGAAACUUAUUAAUAAAAAUUUUCAAUUUUUUUUUUUUAAAUUAAGUUUUUUAAUUUAGUCCCAUUGUUAAUACACUUAUCUUUCAACUAAAAUUUAAUAAUAUUAAGUUAAUGGAGAAAUAAAGUUAUAAGGGAGAAGUUUGUAAAAAGAUAAAAUACGGAUUUAUAUCAGUCCCAUUAAAAAACUGUAAGUUUUAAAAAAUCUUUCGAAAAACUAGGAAUUCUUAACAAAUUUAAAAAACUCGGACAUUUUUUGAAAAAAUGGUGUUUUAAAUGGAGUAUCAAUACACGCCUAAAGUCACAUAAUUAACCAAAGGAGCUCAGUGCUUCGUUUUUACCAUGGAGAUUACCUAGAUAAGUUGAUCUUUACGAGGAAAUUUAUUAAGGCACACAAAAAAUUUUAACAUCUCAAGUGUUUUUUUAUACAAUUUCAAAAUGAGCUUUGUUGUUUUUAUAGAAUUUCCAAUUCUUGUCAAAAGAUACGUAAUCACAAGUUAGAACAUUUGAAAUUUUAGGUUUGUUUUGGUAAAUAUUUAAAAUAUUAAAUAGUUGAUGGUUUAGGUAUAGUUUGGUAAAUUUUGAUACGAAAUUUCUAAGGAAAUGUUUACAAUUAAACCGUUUAUCUAUUAUACAAGAAAGUUACAAUCAUCGUUGACCAUUAUAUUUCAAAUCAAGUAGUUGAGGAUUUAUUACUGUUUGGGCACAAAGUCAAUAAUAAAAUAUAUAUCGAAUAUUGUGAUGCACUUUCAUCUAUUGGCUAAAAAUGAUUGUGUGCUCCUUGUAUCACAUUUGGUUCAUGAACAAUUUCAAACAAAGAUAAAAAGAAGACCAGUUUUAACUCUUAAAAUAUUGGAUUUGAUGAACAUUCAAUGGAUCUUUUUGGAGGGUAAAUUGAAUUGGAGCAUUCUUUGAGCUCCAAAAUAAUUUUUUCGUUUAAUUUUUUCUUUAAAUUGAUCUUAGAUAGUAACAUGGGACCUAGCGGGAAUUGGAAUUUAGAACGUCACAUUUUGGCACAAACCACCUCUGCCUCAAGCCCAUUCCAGACCAAUUACAUCUUUUUCCCUUAAUUUUAAAAUGAUAAAUAUCAAUUAAUUAUUUUUUAAAGCUGAAUAUUAUCAGGGAUUGUCUAUAAAAAGACCAUUUAUCUGUUGUAUAUAGAGGUCACAAUCAUUCUUAUCACUUAAAUUUCAAAGUGGGUAGUUGCAAGAGUGUCAUUAAAUAAACAUAAAGUUCCAAAAAAAUUUCUCAGACUUUGUGACUCACCUUAAGCUAUCCAAGUUGAUAUUUAAUAAGUAUGACUGAUGGUGACCUUUAUAUAUAAAAGAUAAAAUGUGUCUUUGUAAGCAAUUCUAUUUUAAUAUCUAGUGAUGACUAGCAAAAAUGACUAAAUACCAUUUAUGCCUGAAAGCCACGUCCAUAUUUUGUAAGAUAUCAUUAUUUAUGUGCAAUCCAUUCUUGGCUCAUUAUAUAUU